AUGAAAGGAGGGAAGAAGCAGAUGGACUUGAAAAAGAUCCCAAUUCCUAUUCUCUAUUGGAAGAAGUCAGAUGGACUUCUUUUAAAGCCUGGAAUGCUUUUCACUGAACGAGGCCGAGCCUCCGUCCAGACGGUUCUGCAUGGCGAGGCCGCCAGGUGCGGUGGCUCCUUGGGCUGCAAGGGGUCGGGAUCUCGUGUUGGACUGGGAGGGCCAGAACGUCCCCACUGGCAUCCACACAGCAGUGAGCCCGGCUGGAGGGGUGGGAAGAGCGUGGGCUGUACAGACAGUUCCGAGCAAUAUUCCCUUCCAGCGCUCUGACUUCAUUUCUCGUGGUUGGCCCUCGGUACGUGUUAGCUAUUACGACUAACAUUUACUAGUGACCAAAUGGCACCAGCUCUAAGGCCCGGUUAUCCUCCAGUCCCUUGCUACUCACAGUGCAUCCACAGAUUGCCUUCAUCCUCAUCGCCUGGGAGCUUAUUAGAAAUGCAGACUCUCAGGCCCCACCCCACAACCACUGAGUCAGAAUCUGCAUUUUAGCAAGAUCCGCAGGAGCUUCCCACCCACAGUCACUUUUGAGACGUCCUGCAGUCCAGUUAGUUAGUCAACACUUCCUGCCUCCCUGAAGGGUCAGCCCGCCUGCUCUGCGUUACUCAGCAGGGCAAUCUCCCCCAGGUUCUCCUGUGGCGAGUAUUUCUCCUCAACCCAAAUCCAGACACGUGGUCAAAUCAAAUAUGAAUUGACUUAGUGAGAGCAAGGGGACACAAUGUAGGACAUCGAGUUUUACCAUCACCAUGUUUAACUCCCACUUCAUAACCAUUUUGCUUCCCUGUUUCUGAAAAGGGUGGAGAAUUAUUUUAAAAUCCACCUCUCCAGUCUGGUCGUGGAUAAGGCUGUGUGGUGGCUUUUUAUAAACUCUGCCAAAACAUUUCUUUUAAGGAAAAAAAGACUUCCUACAGAUACCUCGUGGGAACCUGCCCUCUUCCCAUCUUGCUUCUGGGUGGGGGUCAGUCACUGCACUGAUGGAGCUGGUCCGUGUGACAACCUGGCCUCCCCGCUUCAGUGCGUGUUACAGGUCCUGCAUAUGAAAUGCCCAUUUCUUUCCACUGGACAUACAGGAAGCCAGGCCAUUUGCAAUGGCAGUUUUUGAACAUGACUCAAU
rnacentral:lncRNA from 1 species